GCCUACGGGGGGCAGCAGUAGGGAAUCUUCCACAAUGGGCGAAAGCCUGAUGGAGCAACGCCGCGUGGGUGAAGAAGGUCUUCGGAUCGUAAAACCCUGUUGUUAGAGAAGAAAGUGCGUGAGAGUAACUGUUCACGUUUCGACGGUAUCUAACCAGAAAGCCACGGCUAACUACGUGCCAGCAGCCGCGGUAAUACGUAGGUGGCAAGCGUUAUCCGGAUUUAUUGGGCGUAAAGGGAACGCAAGCGGUCUUUUAAGUCUGAUGUGAAAGCCUUCGGCUUAACCGGAGUAGUGCAUUGGAAACU
rnacentral:rRNA from 1 species